CCUGGGCUGCCAUUUCGCGAUCGGAAAGGCCGCCGCAAAUCUGGAUGAUACGGUCAGACAGCGUCGAUUUACCGUGGUCGAUGUGGGCAAUAAUAGAAAAGUUACGUAUAUUCUUCAUAGUUAGAGGUUUUUAUGCCUUACAAAUGCCUGAGAGCUCGGCGCUUCGCGCUGUACGGAGCAUGAUGUCAAUGGCUGUCUUCCGCCUGAAACGCCGCAUUCUACACUACAACGAGAAAGCGAGGAAACUGCUCAUCCUGCAAGCUUAGCUGAGGGAAGAAAAGAGGCGAGGCGCAAGUGUGAAUCUGGAGUACGGGGCUGCUAAAAAUCACCGGCCGUCUACGGAAGUGUCUGUCUCAACGCGCAGCACGUCCGGAGCAAGCGCAACGUUCAGGAUAACCGGCUGCCAGUCCGCACGGCGACUCAAUUUCAUCGAGUAUCCCCGGGCUAACAGAAACCCCCCAACGCCGCCCAGUAACGCGCCGCAAAACGCGGCAAGGUCGGAACCAAACAGCCCCUGGAACAGCGCAGCGAUAAGGAAAAGGCCCACCAGCGGAGACAUAUAGACCAGCAGCGCAGACCCAAUCAGGCUGCCUUCGGCUAUCCCCAGUUCGACCUUCUGCCCUUCCACCAGCGGCUGUUCGCAGGCCACCGACAGGAAAUGCUGAUUUUGCGGCCCAAGCUUAUUUAGCAGCCUGCUGCCGCAGCCUGCCCGGGAAGCGCAGCUGCUGCAUGACGCUUUCACAUCGCAGCGCAGCAGCGCUUCGCCGUUAGCCCAUGAGACGACCGUAGCCCACUCUUUGAUCAUUGGGCUGUCCUGAAUUUAAUGCUGUCAGCGAUGCG
rnacentral:ncRNA from 1 species